UACGUAGGGGGCAAGCGUUGUCCGGAAUCAUUGGGCGUAAAGAGCGUGUAGGCGGCCAGAAAAGUCCGCUGUGAAAACUCGAGGCUCAACUUCGAGCUGUCGGUGGAAACUUUCUGGCUAGAGUCCGGAAGAGGAGAAUGGAAUUCCUGGUGUAGCGGUGAAAUGCGCAGAUAUCAGGAAGAACACCCGUGGCGAAGGCGGUUCUCUGGGACGGUACUGACGCUGAGACGCGAAAAGCGUGGGGAGCAACAGG
rnacentral:rRNA from 1 species